AUUGAACGCUGGCGGCAUGCCUUACACAUGCAAGUCGAACGGCAGCGGACCUUCGGGUGCCGGCGAGUGGCGAACGGGGGAGUAAUGUAUCGGAACGUACCUGGCAGUGGGGGAUAACGUAGCGAAAGUUACGCUAAUACCGCAUAUUCUGUGAGCAGGAAAGCAGGGGAUCGCAAGACCUUGCGCUAAUUGAGCGGCCGAAAUCAGAUUAGCUAGUUGGUGAGGUAAAGGCUCACCAAGGCGACGAUCUGUAGCGGGUCUGAGAGGAUGAUCCGCCACACUGGAGCUGAGACACGGGCCAGACUCCUACGGGAGGCAGCAGUGGGGAAUUUUGGACAAUGGGGGCAACCCUGAUCCAGCCAUGCCGCGUGAGUGAAGAAGGCCUUCGGGUUGUAAAGCUCUUUCGUCCGGGAAGAAAUCGCAUCAGCUAAUACCUGGUGUGGAUGACGGUACCGGAAUAAGAAGCACCGGCUAACUACGUGCCAGCCGCCGCGGUAAGAC
rnacentral:rRNA from 1 species